AUGGUACUCCUCCCGUUCGGAAUUACUUGUCGCAGAAAUGGAUGUAUCUAGAUGUAUUUUAGUUCAUGAUACAUCCAUUUUCGUGACAAGUAAUUCCGAACGGAGGGAGUAGAUG
rfam:Triticum aestivum genome assembly, contig: Triticum_aestivum_CS42_TGACv1_scaffold_272722_3DS